ensembl:lncRNA
GCCAGAGCCACAGACACCUGUAGUCCCACAUGGAGGAAUCCUGUUGUGGAGGACCAUAAAGAAAAGACUGCUGUCCAAACUCCAGUGCCCUGUAUCCUUGGCAUGGGUCAGGCCCAGUGGUGAUUUUAGAUUACCCAUCCAUGACUGGAUAGCUCUUCAGAGGACACAUGAACGUUUAAUUAUGGAAGGUAGGCAUACCCUUUUUUCACAUGAUAACUUUAAAAGCAUCACUCUUUCCUUUUUUCUAAACUUUACAUUUGUAUUACAGCUGGGCAGUUGGCAGAACCCACCAGGUAUGGAAUAGAUACAACAAUCAUAGUGCUACACAGUUUGCUUGAUUUGGAAUGUUAUUUCAAAUGUCUUUAUUUCUAUAUAGUAUCUGAUUAAUCAGAAUAUGUCACUGUCAAAAAAUCUGAUAUUGUAUCCAAAACAGAAUGGAUUAAAGACUAUGUAUAUUUCUGUGUUUCUACAUUUUCCAGCACUGAUGAUAUGAUUAACCUGAAUUACCUAUUGGCUGGGGGAAGCUAUGGUGCAUACCAGUUCAGCAAUACUUGUGUUAUAGACUCCAUUUUGGCUGGAAUUCAUGUUCUUGCCAAAAUGUAUCCCCAAAUUCGAGAUUUGUUCACGAGGGAUAACAAAAUCAAUGCGGUUAUACGUUUCCUAGACUUCGCCAAGGUCAAUGAGGCAAAGGCACUGUGGCUUAUUAACUUGAGCCUUCGUAAGGAAAAAAACCUCAUGCAAAAUGAAUUUGUAGAUAUCAGAGGUUAUGUUAGAGACCACUUGUCAAACUUCAUUGAGCUGGUAUGUGCCAGCUUCGACUAUGAUGACUCGCAAUCAAGCUCCACACCAUGUGACACAGUUCUCAACAACAUAUUGAGGAAGUUUGAGGAUUACGGUGAGGUAAAACCCUUAGGCACUUCUCGUCAUGAACCCAAACUCAUCCUGGUAGACAUUGAUGACCGGAUGUGUAUCCUACCUCCCCUCUCCAUCACGGAUGAUUAUGAAAGGACAUACGAGCUCCAGUUCCUGCUGAUGGGACAGAGUACACCCCUGUCCAACCACAUGGUCCUGUUCCUGUGCACUCAACUGACUGGCAGAUGGAUGAUCUAUGACAACAUGAAAACACCCCUGGUCCAGGACAUUGGUGUGAGUGAACUACAGAGAGCUACAGAGAGGGACAAGUAUGUUUCCUAUCUUGCUGCUUAUGUGAAGAAAGAAUAAUAAUAAGGCUGCUUCGGGAGUCAAGGGCAUCCUCUUUAGAUUUUAGUUCUGUAUUUCCGAGAUCCUGUCCCAACUACAACUAUUAGCAUUAUAAAAAAAUCCCCAUAAAAUUCUGUCAAUUUAAGAUAGAGAUGUUUUUUUGCAUUGGAUGCAUCUCAAUCCACCGCAUACGCCAAUGUCACUCUUCUGCAUCGGUGGUAAAAGGUGACGGAGCUUAAGCCAUGUUUGUCAGACCAUGAGACAUCCCGAAAAUCGGUCUUUUCACAAAAUCGUCUGUAGUGUUUGAACAGUUUAGCCUAUAAAACUAUUAUAACCCCUCUAUUGAAAGAUGAGACUCUCGCGAACACAAUGGUAUUUGCUGUUUGGGACACGUCUGAAGUCGGUACAGCCGAUCUGCCAACAUCUGUCUGUAGUGUCCGAACAGUUUGGAGUACACACUAAUGCUUCUCUGUGGAAAGGUGACAUGCCUCACAAGACUCCUCUGAAGGUGUCCCGGUACCAGUUGAAAAAAUGAGUACAAGUACAAUACCGUUCAAAAGUUUGGGGUCACUUAGACAUUUCCAUGUUUUUGAAAGAAACUUUUUGUCCAUUAAAAUAACAUCAGAUUGAUCAGAAAUACAGUGUAGACAUUGUUAAUGUUGUAAAUUACUAUUGUAGCUGGAAACAGCAGAUCGUUUUUUAAUGGAAUAUCUACAUAGGCGUAAAGAGGCCCAUUAUCAGCAACCAUCACAUCUGUGUUCCAAUGGCGCGUUGUUAUCUAAUCCAAGUUUAUCAUUUUAAAAGGCUAAUUGAUCAUUAGAAAACCCUUUUGCAAUUAUGUUAGCAAAGCUGAAAACUGUUGUACUGAUUAAAAAAGCAAUACAACUGGCAUUCUUUAGACUAGUUCAGUGUCUGGAGCAUCAGCAUUUGUGGGUUUGAUUACAGGCUCAAAAUGGCCAGAAACAAAGUACUUUCUUCUGAAAUUCAUCAGUCUAUUCUUGUUCUGAGAAAUUAAGGCUAUUCCAUGCAAGAAAUUGCCAAGAAACUGAAGAUCUCGUACAACGCUGUGUACUACUCCCUUCACAGAACAGCACAAACUAGCCUCGCUACUUUUAUAGCCUCGCUACUGUAUAUAGCCUGUCUUUUUACUGUUGUUUUAUUUAUUUACUUAACCUAUUGUUUACCUAAUACCUUUUUUGCACUAUUGGUUAGAGCCUGUAAGUAAGCAUUUCACUGUAUGGUCUACACCUGUUGUAUUCGGUGCACAUGACAAAUAAACUUUGAUUUGAUUUGAAACUGUAUAUAACCAGAAUAGAAAGAGUAGGAUGCCCUGGUGCACAGCUGAGCAAGAGGACAAGUACAUUAGAGUGUCUAGUUUGAGAAACAGACGCCUCACAAGUCCUCAACUGGCAGCUUCGUUAAAUCGUACCCGCAAAACACCAGUCUCAACGUCCACAGUGAAGAGGCGAGUACAGGAUGCUGGCCUUCUAGGCAGAGUAUCUCAGACUGGUCAAUAAAAAGAAAAGAUUAAGAUGGGCAGAAGAACAGACACGGGACAGAGGAACUCUGCCUAGAAGGCCAGCAUCCCGGAGUCGGCUCUUCGCUGUUGACAUUGAGACUGGUGUUUUGGAACACAGGAGUGAUGAUUAUGAGCCUCUGUACGUCUAUGUAGAUAUUCCAUUAAAAUUCAGCCGUUUCCAGCUACAAUAGUCAUUUUCAACAUUAACAAUGUCUACAUUGUAUUUCUGAACAAUUUGAUGUUAUUUUAAUGGACAAAAAAUGUGCUUUUCUUUCAAAAACGAGGACAUUUCUAAGUGAACCCAAACUUUUGAACGGUAAUGGACAUAUAGAGACUGUUUAGUGCCAAAAAUAAGGGGUUAAAUACAUGUAAAAUAAAAAUAAAAUAAAAACGUUUUAAUUAAAUACAUUAAUGUUUCCUGAUCUAUCUUGUAUCUCGCCGAUAUAGGACAGACAUUUCAGAACAAACUUCAUUUUAUUUAUUUACAUGGAACAACUAUCUGUUGUUCCAUGUAUUGAAUCUGUUACUCAAUGCGUUUGAAUGGGCUAAUAGCAGUAAGGCCCAAACUUGUUUUGUAUCAAAUAUUUUUUACAAUAUUUUUGGGGGAUACUUCAAGGGGUCUUAAAAUUCUAAAUCAAAUAGCGAAAUGAUCGUUGGUAUAACCUUCUUAAAACAAUUCCAUGUAGCUUUGUAGAACCCCCUCCCCCAUGACUGUACGUCACUUUGGAUAAAAGCGUCUGCUAAAUGGCGUUUAACUUAUUGUCAUAUUAUUUUGAUAAUGUUACUUAAUGUAAUAAGCUCUUCAGACUACUCUUUUUUUAAUGUUGACAUCAGUUAUAGCCAGGAAUAACAUACACGAUUGACUAGUGUUAAGUGUUGUCACAGAGAGAGGUCUAAGGAUGCAUUGAUGCUAUGGAACCUUUUAUUCCUGCAACUAUGAACAUUGAUUUUACAAUAAUUGUGGUCCUGUUGCACAGACGAGCUACUAUAACAGGAAGAAACUGAGUAACUGACACUCCAGAUGUUUUUAAAUGUUUGUUCUGUUUGAAUAAGGUUAGCUAUCACUAACAAGCAGUAGCUUGUUUCAUAUGGCCAGUAUUAAUAUGUUUACCGUUUAUUAUUGACAGUUUCUUUGCCAGUUCAUCUGAUAUUUCCUUUAUAUAUUCUGUACUACAGUAUAUGCUCACACUGUACAGAGCUGUGAAUGGGUAUGUGAACCCCUGCACUGUUUUCACAUAUUAAAAUGUUAAAUAUUUGUUUGAAUAAAAAAUUAUACAAUAUUGAGAUGUCUUGUGUUAAUAAGUAUGUGAACCCCUGAGUCAAUACUUGAUGAAAGCAAAAGUUCAAGUGUUGAUAGGGGACAGAAUGCGGUCGGACCAUCAAAUAAUUGGCAUAUACAGUGGGGCAAAAGAGUAUUUAGUCAGCCACCAAUUGUGCAAGCUCUCCCACUUAAAAAGAUGAGAGAGGCCUGUAAUUUUCACCAUAGGUACACUUCAACUAUGACAGACAAAAUGAGGGAAAAAAAUCCAGAAAAUCACAUUGUAACAUGGACUUUCAACUCCCUCCAAAGAUUUUCUAUGGGGUUGAGAUCUGGAGACUGGCUAGGCCACUCCAGGACCUUGAAAUGCUUCUUACGAAGCCACUCCUUCGUUGCCCGGGAGGUGUGUUUGGGAUCAUUGUCAUGCUGAAAGACCCAGCCACGUUUCAUCUUCAAUGCCCUUGCUGAUGGAAGGAGGUUUUCACUCAAAAUCUCACGAUACAUGGCCCCAUUCAUUCUUUCCUUUACACGGAUCAGUCGUCCUGGUCCCUUUGCAGAAAAACAGCCCCAAAGCAUGAUGUUUCCAGCCCCAUGCUUCACAGUAGGUAUGGUGUUCUUUGGAUGCAACUCAGCAUUCUUUGUCCUCCAAACACGACGAGUUGAGUUUUUACCAAAAAGUUAUAUUUUGCUUUCAUCUGACCAUAUGACAUUCUCCCAAUCUUCUUCUGGAUCAUCCAAAUGCUCUCUAGCAAACUUCAGACGGGCCUGGACAUGUACUGGCUUAAGCAGGGGGACACGUCUGGCACUGCAGGAUUUGAGUCCCUGGCGGCGUAGUGUGGUACUGA